rnacentral:misc_RNA from 1 species
UAUGGGUCAUUUAGGUGAAAUAUUUUUUAGCUAAUUCCAGAGUUCAAUAGAGCUCCAUUGAUGGCUUGAACAUUAGUUCAAAGUUCAAAUAGUUCCUUGUAGCAUACCUGCUCUGGCCAACUAAGCACAAUAAUCAGCACAAAAAGCUAAAGAUGCUUUGAGAAGCUCGAGGAUCUCCACAGAAUAUAUAUAAAAAAUAUUUCACCUAAAUGACCCA